CCUACGGGGGGCUGCAGUAGGGAAUAUUGCGCAAUGGGCGAAAGCCUGACGCAGCGACACCGUGUGUAGGAUGAAGAUCUUCGGAUUGUAAACUACUGUCAGUUGAAGACGAAGGCAGUAGAGUUAAGAGCUCGAAUGCUGACGGUAUUCAAUUAGGAAGUCUCGGCUAACUCCGUGCCAGCAGCCGCGGUAAGACGGAGGAGGCAAGCAUUGUCCGGAAUUAUUGGGCGUAAAGAACACGUAGGCGGUUUGCCAAGUCAUAUGUGAAAACCUUGGGCUUAACUUAAGGAUUGCAUAUGAUACUGGUAAACUAGAGUAUAGUAGAGGAAAGCGGAAUUCCUGGUGUAGCGGUGAAAUGCGCAGAUAUCAGGAAGAACACCAGUGGCGAAAGCGGCUUUCUGGACUGUUACUGACGCUGAGGUGUGAAAGCUAGGGGAGCGAACAGGAUUAGAUACCCUAGUAGUC
rnacentral:rRNA from 1 species